UGAGACACGGCCCAGACUCCUACGGGAGGCAGCAGUAGGGAAUCUUGCGCAAUUGGGCGAAAGCCUGACGCAGCAACGCCGCGUGAGGGAUGACGGCUCUCGGGUUGUAAACCUCUUUCAGCAGGAACGAAAUUGACGGUACCUGCAGAAGAAGCUCCGGCCAACUACGUGCCAGCAGCCGCGGUAAUACGUAGGGAGCAAGCGUUGUCCGGAUUUAUUGGGCGUAAAGAGCUCGUAGGCGGUUUAGAAAGUCAGGUGUGAAACCUCCAGGCUCAACCUGGAGACGCCACUUGAUACUUCUAUGACUUGAGUUCGGUAGGGGUAAGCGGAAUUCCUGGUGCAGCGGUGAAAUGCGCAGAUAUCAGGAGGAACACCGAUGGCGAAGGCAGCUUACUGGGCCGAAACUGACGCUGAGGAGCGAAAGCGUGGGGAGCGAACAGGAUUAGAUACCCCUGGUAGUCCACGCCGUAAACGUUGGGUACUAGGUGUGGGAGGUAAUCAACGCCUUCCGUGCCGCAGCUAACGCAUUAAGUACCCCGCCUGGGGAGUACGGUCGCAAGACUAAAACUCAAAGGAAUUGACGGGGGCCCGCACAAGCGGCGGAGCAUGUUGCUUAAUUCGAUGCAACGCGAAGAACCUCACCUAGGUUUGACAUGUAGGGAAAAGCCACAGAGAUGUGGUGUCCUUCGGGGUCCUACACAGGUGGUGCAUGGCUUCUCAGCUCGGUCUA
rnacentral:rRNA from 1 species